UACGUAGGGUGCGAGCGUUAAUCGGAAUUACUGGGCGUAAAGCGUGCGCAGGCGGUUUUGUAAGCCAGAUGUGAAAUCCCCGGGCUUAACCUGGGAAUGGCAUUUGGGACUGCAAGGCUUGAGUGCGGCAGAGGAGACUGGGAUUCCUGGGUGUAGCAGUGAAAUGCGUAGAUAUCAGGAGGAACACCGAUGGCGAAGGCAGGUCUCUGGGCUGACACUGACGCUCAUGCACGAAAGCGUGGGGAG
rnacentral:rRNA from 1 species